rnacentral:ncRNA from 2 species
GGGUGUCCGCUUUCUAGCUGCGGGCAGGUUCUCAGGCUGGUCGGGCCGCCAGCG